ensembl:lncRNA
AACUAUUGGAAUGCUUUAAUUUCAUAUUUACCUCAUGUAUUCAUUCUGAAGGAGCGGCGUCCUGAUGAAGCUCACAGAUCAUCGUCAUCACCGUAGAGGACAAGUACGACCUCAUCCUGAUGCAUCCUCCUGACCCAGCACGGCUCUUCGUCCUCACUGCUAGCUGUUAGCUUAGCAGAACUCCUCCUGGCAUCUGACUCGUCUUCAGCUUCGUCUCCUGAGCGUGGGGGGAGGGGGGCUAGGAGAGCACGGCUCUGAUGGUGAGGAGGCCGCUGAAGAACAGACUCUUGGUGAAGAUCAGCCUGAGCAGGUUCAGCAGCAGCAGGUGGAGGUUCAGCUCCACCGGGGGGUCUCCGCCUGGAGACAGAUCACAUGUUCAGCUUUAAUAAUCUCAGGCCGACCAGCUCACAGGACUGGAUGUCCUGGCUGAAGCCGGCGUAGAAGUAGGUUUUAAGACGGUCAGACAGGGCGGCGUGGGCGGUGCUCAGGUUGGUGCCCCCCCCCGGCCCGUCCAGAAACAUCCUGCCCCCCUUCGGAC